rnacentral:tRNA from 2 species
GCGAGAGUGGUGAAAUUGGCAGACACGCCAGACUUAGGAUCUGGUGCUUCGGCGUGAGGGUUCAAGUCCCUCCUCUUGCA